ensembl:snoRNA
GCUGUCCUAGACCUGCCAGCCCCACAGCUGUGGCUGCUCUGCUGGGCCUGUGACAUCGGGGCAAAGAGAAAGUGGCUAUUUCUACACUCAGUGUUUAGAAACCAGUGAGUACUGAGAAUGGCUUAUAGCCUGACAUUU